UUCGUCACCGCCAAAAAGAAAGAAAACAAGUUUAACCUAAAGAAAUUCUGUGUAUACGGUGUAUAGUGUAUAUUAAUCUACAUACGGGUAUGGCCACCAACAGUUCUGGCCGGUGGUGCCUUUCUUUUUUUUUUGUUCUUUUGAGACGCCAGAGCCACCUUAUCUCCAUCUCUACGACUCGAUAUCUCACCCCACCAGCUCUUGAAUUAUUCUGAUGAUCUUUGUCUGUGAUACCUGCAGGGCACCUCGGGAGUAAAUGAAUGGGGCCAGCUUCAUGUGCUGGAUUGACGACUCACUUAGUGAGCUACGGGUCCCAGUUCUGGCCAGCAUCGGAGACUCUACGUGGACAGCUAAGGAGACAAACGAGACAGAUUCGAGCCCAAUUGUAACGGAACGCGCCUGGGACCGUCUGCAAGACGCACGGAUGACGCUUCUGCAACGGACGCCACUUCGCGGCGACAGGCAAAAGCUAAGAGAAGCGCACGUUAUCUUCGUAUUUGCGUAUUCCUAUGAACAACAAAGCGCAACUUACAUUAAGCGCGCGGGAAAGCCUGACUGCGUUUUUUUUUUUUUUUUCUUGUGCGCAGAUGAUCUUUCCCGUCGAGCUUUCAAGCUGCCGGCUCAGCUGCCAUCUUGGUUGGACAGUAGGGUCGCCGGCAUCGUUUCUGACUUGGACGGUGUCUUCGCGGAGUUGUCGUUUUUUGGACGGCUUCGCCAGAAUUGGAGCGAGGCUUAGAUGCCCGCUGUCCACUUAUUUUUCUACUUUGCCGUCUACGGCGAGUAUUGGAAUACAGACUGCAGUCGGCGAGACGGUGUAUAGGAGUACCCAGCAGCCACGAUUGAUCAGCCUGGCCUCACAGUUCAUCAGCCCAGAAAGCCAUUCGAGCGCUUCUUCUGCACCUGACGGCAACAGGCUUCAGUGCCCGACUGCAGACAUGCUGCACCAAGCAUAGUGCAUGUGAAAGUGCGCUAUAGACUCAUGUCAUCUCUCUCUCUCUCUUUGACUCCUCUCCCCACGUGUAGGGUAGCAAACUGGACCCAGUCUGGUUAACCUCCCUGCUUUUCAUUUCUCCUCUCUCUCGCUCUCUCUCAAAUUACCUUCCCACGGACCACCGUCAAAGCACUCGGCGUCCUUCAACGGACACUAAAGAGAAAAAAAAAUAUUUCAGCUGUGGUAGUAAACUGCCCUUACACAAUACAAAAAAGCCUCACGCACCGUUGGCUCGGUGCAUACAUCACACCCUACGCUAAUUUACGUGUUCACGCCGAUAUACACGAUGAAUAAACGGAUACGCGCAGACUGCCCUUCUGAGAAAUAAAGGCAAGCUCAUGGCCCAUUGAAAUGCCGGCGCAUCCAGGUCGAACCGCCUGACUGGAAAACGGUGGUUCGGCGCUCAAAUCGCUCCCCGUGCAAAUUCAGUUGCUGACGCCGAUUUCCGCGGUGAAUAAACGGAUGAGCCCAGUUUGGCUUUCCAUGGAGAAUGUGGGCGCAUCCAGGUCCAGUCACUUCUCCGCAAAGCGCUGCUGUGGUGCA